rnacentral:rRNA from 4 species
GAAAUACCACCCUUUAAUGUUUGAUGUUCUAACGUGGACCCGUAAUCCGGGUUGCGGACAGUGUCUGGUGGGUAGUUUGACUGGGGCGGUCUCCUCCUAAAGAGUAACGGAGGAGCACGAAGGUUGGCUAAUCCUGGUCGGACAUCAGGAGGUUAGUGCAAUGGCAUAAGCCAGCUUGACUGCGAGCGUGACGGCGCGAGCAGGUGCGAAAGCAGGUCAUAGUGAUCCGGUGGUUCUGAAUGGAAGGGCCAUCGCUCAACGGAUAAAAGGUACUCCGGGGAUAACAGGCUGAUACCGCCCAAGAGUUCAUAUCGACGGCGGUGUUUGGCACCUCGAUGUCGGCUCAUCACAUCCUGGGGCUGAAGUAGGUCCCAAGGGUAUGGCUGUUCGCCAUUUAAAGUGGUACGCGAGCUGGGUUUAGAACGUCGUGAGACAGUUCGGUCCCUAUCUGCCGUGGGCGCUGGAGAACUGAGGGGGGCUGCUCCUAGUACGAGAGGACCGGAGUGGACGCAUCACUGGUGUUCGGGUUGUCAUGCCAAUGGCACUGCCCGGUAGCUAAAUGCGGAAGAGAUAAGUGCUGAAAGCAUCUAAGCACGAAACUUGCCCCGA